rnacentral:rRNA from 1 species
UACGAAGGGGGCUAGCGUUGUUCGGAAUCACUGGGCGUAAAGCGCACGCAGGCGGAUUGAUAAGUCAGGGGUGAAAUCCCGGAGCUCAACUUCGGAAUUGCCUCUGAUACUGUCUGUCUUCGAGUUCGGGAGAGGUUGGCGGAAUUCCUAGUGUAGAGGUGAAAUUCGUAGAUAUUCGCAAGAACACCAGUGGCGAAGGCGGCUCACUGGCCCGAUACUGACGCUGAGGCACGAAAGCGUGGGGAGCAAACAGG